rnacentral:rRNA from 1 species
UACAGAGGGGGCAAGCGUUGUUCGGAAUUACUGGGCGUAAAGGGCGCGUAGGCGGCCUUCUAAGUCGAACGUGAAAUCCCCGGGCUCAACCCGGGAACUGACGUCCGAUACUGGAAGGCUUGAAUCCGGGAGAGGGAUGUGGAAUUCCAGGUGUAGCGGUGGAAAUGCGUAGAUAUCAGGAAGAACACCCGUGGCUAAGGCGGCUCUCUAGUACGGUACUGACGCUGAGACGCGAAAGCGUGGGGAGCGAACAGG